GAUGAGAGCAGUGCUAUAAUAAUUUUAGAAGAUCUCAGCCAUAAUUACUGCCUGCUAUACACAGUAGAAACUCAGAAAAUGAAAUCCAGAAAGUGUGGGUUGUAUGCCCACACCAACAGCAAGCACUGGAGUCAUCCCAGAGGAGCCACAGGGACUGAGAGCGAAAGAGGAGUGGACUGACAAAACAGAUUGAAGAUUGGAUUUUCUGCCAGAAAAGGGGCAGGAGGCAGCAACAGACAUGCACUGUAAACACAAAACAAGACUAUAGUUACACUCACUGUGAUUAAAGUUAUGAAGAUUAAGCAUGGAUAUGAAAAGAGCAACCAAAAAUUAUAAAAGUAAAAUCAUGAGGUUUAGGUAUAGUGGAAUAAGGAACAAUGAAUGUUCUCUCUAAAACAUUAUUUAAUGCAAUUUUAGUAAUGACUUUACAAGUCAUGAGAGAACUAAACUCUAAGGGAAAGAUGUUAAAGGAAGCAGAUGAAAAUGAUAGGUGUUAAUAUGCCAGAAACUCACAGGGAUGUUGUAAGCAUCUCUAACACAUUUUCAACUUCUCUGAAGAUGCUUCAGGUAUUAAAAGACCCAGGAUUAUAAUCAUUUAUUACAUUAAGUAUACACUUCUUGUAAGCCCACAAGCUCUAAGAAGAUAAAGGCGAGGUCUAAAGGAAUUUAAGAUAAGAAUCACUAGACCGUUGCCUAAUGCAAUUGAGCGAAGUUCCUUGUCUCCCAGGCUUGGUCAUGCUUAUCAUUCAAUAAGCACACACUUGAGGAUCUAUGACAUUAGACACAAAUGAAAGACAUACUCUCUAUAUUCAAAUGACUCACAGGUAAAUAAACAAUGAAAAUAACCUGAGGAGUACAAUCAUAAAAGUAAAAAUCUGGGAGCCGCAGGAGCAUAAUGCAAAAGCUCCAUGCUUCUUAAGGUAUUGAUAAUAUUCAGGAAAGGAAAUGCCUGCACUAAUCUUGAAGGAAGAGUAGGAAUUCUCGAGACAAUAAGCCCUCUCAGGGUUUAGAGAAAAGGGAUAUCUAAAUGUGUGGAGGAAGACAGCUUCCCAAAAGAGACAGAAAUUUAAUUUGACUUGAAGAAUGAGUAGGAUGUGCAGAGGCAGACAGAUUAGUUUGCUAGGGCUGCCAUGGAAAUUAUCACAAAUGCAUAGCUUAAAACAAAAAUGUAUUCCUUCACAGUUUGAGAAGCUAAGUCCAAAAUCAAGCUGUCAGCAGAGCCUGCUACCUGCCAAGCCUCUAGUGAGAUGCCUUCCUUACCUCUUCUACCUUCUUGUGGGUGGUUGCCAGGAAUCCUUGGCACUCCUUGGCUCAAGGUUUCUCACCUGUAAAAGAAGAUAAUGAUGAUAUUUGUCAUAUUCAGCCUAGUUAACUAUGCAUCUCAGAAAGUGCCUGAAAUAGAGCAAGUGAUACUUCAGUGUUAAUGCUCAUUUUAUUAAUAAACCUAAUGCAUUUAA